UUAUCGGACUUGUUACAAGGUUGUUCUAACAAGUUUGAUACAGUCAUGAUAUACCAGUAAUGUUACAAGGUUGACGACAUCAGGUUGUAACAAUACUGUUAUAUCAUGACUGUAUCGGACUUGUUGGAACAACCUUGGAACAAGUCUGAUAA
rnacentral:miRNA from 1 species